UUAAUUCUCAUAUUAUUUUGUUAUUGAAAUCUACGUUGAUUUUUUAUUGCAAAAUAAUUAUUUGUUAGUUUGAAUAAUUUAAGUCCAUAAUUGCUUGGGUUAUUCUUAAAUGAGGACGCUUGGGAUAGAACCCAAGGAAAUUGCAUGAUCUAGCGUUAUCUCUAUACGUUUGGGUAGUUAGGAUUGGGUCUCUCUCUUUCUUAAUGCAAUUGACAAUUGUUUUGAUGCCUAAGGCCCAAGGACGUUCCUUGGCAAUUUGUUAAUUAGUAAUUAAUUAGAGGACGUUCCCUAAUUAAUUUAUUCUUAAGGAGAGAUAAUGGUGGUGAGAAGCGUCUUCCAUCUCCAUAACUAAUCUAUUGGGUCAACCCAAAAGAGCAAAGUGUCUGUGAUCAACCCCAACAACUAAAGUGGAUCUAAUAUUUCAACUAGAGCUUUCUCAUUAUUAAUUACUUUUUACUUAAUUAUUUGCUUUUAUUAUUAUUCACAUUAUUAGUUACUACAAUCAAUCUCAAAACCCC
rnacentral:lncRNA from 1 species